rnacentral:rRNA from 1 species
UACGGGGGGGGCAAGCGUUGUUCGGAAUUACUGGGCGUAAAGGGCUCGUAGGUGGUCAACUAAGUCGGACGUGAAAUCCCUCGGCUUAACCGGGGAACUGCGUCCGAUACUGGAUGACUUGAGUUCGGGAGAGGGAUGCGGAAUUCCAGGUGUAGCGGUGAAAUGCGUAGAUAUUCGCAAGAACACCAGUGGCGAAGGCGGCUCACUGGCCCGAUACUGACGCUGAGGCACGAAGCGUGG